rnacentral:lncRNA from 1 species
UGCGGCGGCAGAAGAGGUGGCUACGGGAGGAGCUGGGCCGGCUACUGGACACCUGGGCUACGUAGGUCCCGGGGGGGGGCAAGUUGGGGGUGGUGGCUACUAGCCCCCCCAUCCCACUAGCCCACCUCCCAAAUCUUUCCAAAACUGGGGGAAAAAAGGGGGGAAAGGGGGGAAAAUCGGGACUUUUGGCUACUAAAUCCCGGCUGUGGCUACUCCCCCCGGGGGGUGGUGGUCACGGUGGCUAGUAACUCCCCCCCCCGAGGUUGCCCAACGUCUCUUCCUCCCGCAGGGGACCUUGGUGGCCACGGUGGCCACCUGGGGAGGUGCCCCUCAGCGCAGAGAUGGCGGCCGCCUGCCUGGGGGAGGAGGAGGAGGAGGUGGCCGGAGCCGCGGAGGACGGCGAGUUGGUAGCCCAGCCCUGGGGUUUGGUGGCCCAAGCGUCAGCACGGCCACCAGCGCCCCUGUCGUGGCCACUGGGGCUGGUGGCCCAGUCACGGGAGCUGGUGGCCCAACCAUGGGAGCUGGUGGCCCAGCCAUGGCCACGGGUGUCGGUAGCCCAGUGGCAGGUGUUGGUGGCCCAGUCAUCACCUCUGGUAGCCCAACCAUCAUCAUGGGAGCUGGUGGCCCAGCCAUGGGUUUCGGUGGCCCAUCCGUGGCCAUGGGUGCUGGUAGCCCAACGGCGGGUGCCAGUAGCCCAGUGGCGGGAGCUGGUGGCCCAGUCAUCGCCACUGGUGGCCCAGCCAUCAUCAUGGGUGCCAGUAGCCCAGUGGCAGGUGCUGGUGGCCCAGCAGUGGGUGCUGGUGGCCCAGCCUUGGCUACGGGAGCUGGUGGCCCAGUCAUCGCCGCUGGUGGCCCAGCCAUCAUCAUGGGUGCCAGUAGCCCAAUGGCAGGAGCUGGUGGCCCAGUGGCAGGUUCUGGUAGCCCAGAGGCGGGUGCUGGUGGCCCAGCCAUGGCUACGGGAGCUGGUGGCCCAGUGGCAGGUCCUGGUAGCCCAGAGGCGGGUGCUGGUGGCCCAGCAGUGGCCACUGGUGGCCCAACCAUCAUCAGGGGUGCCAGUAGCCCAAUGGCAGGAGCUGGUAGCCCAGCAGUGGGUGCUGGUGGCCCAGCCGUGGCCACAGGAGCUGGUAGCCCAGCGGCGGGUGCCAGUAGCCCAGUGGCAGGUGCUGGUGGCCCAGCAGCGGCCACAGGUGCCAGUAGCCCACUGGUGGGUGCUGGUAGCCCAGCGGCGGGUGUUGGUGGCCCGGCCAUGGCCACGGGUGUUGGUAGCCCACUGGCGGGUACUGGUAGCCCACUGGCGGGUGCUGGUAGCCCACCGGUGGGUACUGGUAGCCCCGCUGGCCGUGCUGGUGGCCCUGCUGGCCCUGCUGUGGCUCCUGCCCUGCCCGUGGCCGGGGCCACCUCCCGGGGGGGGCUGGUGGCCCCACUUCCAGCUGCGCCACCGCGGGCCCCCCCCGCUCUGACCCCCCCCCAAUAAAGAGCCCUGGGCUCCACCA